GGGUAGCUCUCCAGGAACAGGGUUGGAAUGAAAACCUACAGGAGGGUAGCUCUCCAGGAACAGGGUUGGAGUUAAAACCUACAGGAGGGUAGUAUCUCUCCAGGAACAGGGUGGGAAUGAAAACCUACAGGAGGGUAGUAUCUCUCCAGGAACAGGGUGGGAAUGAAAACCUACAGGAGGGUAGCUCUCCAGGAACAGGGUUGGAGUUAAAACCUACAGGAGGGUAGCUCUCCAGGAACAGGGUGGGAAUGAAAACCUACAGGAGGGUAGCUCUCCAGGAACAGGGUGGGAAUGAAAACCUACAGGAGGGUAGCUCUCCAGGAACAGGGUUGGAGAGAGAACCUACAGGACUGUACAGUAACUCUGUCAUUGAAUCAGUGAUUAAUGGUUAACUCCUCAUCAUCCUCCCGUUUUUACUGAGUCAUCAUCCUCCCGUUUUUACUGAGUCAUCAUCCUCACGUUUUUACUGAGUCAUCAUCCUCCCGUUUUUACUGAGUCAUCAUCCUCCAUGUUUCAUUCAUCAGAUUGUUUUACAUAGUUUUUGUUUGUGUUUAAUUGUUUCUUUUGUUGUGGAUUUCCGUUCAGAAGGGUGAGGUUCCCAUGACUUCACAGUAAUGUUUUUGGGUUUCAUCCACCAUCAUCACCCUCCGUCUAUGGAGGAUUCCGAUGGCUAUUAGAGUACAUGGCAUUAUGUCACAACGAGCAUUAUCCAGAACUACUGUAACCAUCCAGAAUCAAUGAUUAAAACAUUCCAUGUCGCACUGCCAAGUCCCGUCGUGCCUCGUUUUGGUCCUCAAUGGAGUCUGUGCUGUGUGUGUGUGUGUGUGACGAUAUGUAUGUAUGUAUAGCCUACGUCAGUGUGUGUGAGAGUGUGUAUGUUUGUUUCUGUACGUCAGUGAGUGUGUGUACUUCAGUGUGUGUGUUCUGGUGUCUUCGUCAGUCAGUCCUGAGGGCGGUCUAUAUGCCCUUCUGGUCCAGCUGUCACCUUCAGUGAAAAGCUGUUAGUGAAUAUUGUAUACAGUAUACUCUGCUAAUAGUGAAUACUGUAUACAGUAUACUCUGCUAAUAGUGAAUACUGUAUACAGUAUACUCUGCUAAUAGUGAAUACUGUAUACAGUAUACUCUGUUAAUAGUGAAUACUGUAUACAGUACACUCUACUAAUAGUGAAUACUGUAUACACCACUCUGUUAAGUGAAUACUGUAUAGAGUAUACUCUGCUAAUAGUGAAUACUGUAUACAGUACACUCUGCUAAUAGUGAAUACUGUAUACA
ensembl:lncRNA